rnacentral:rRNA from 1 species
GAUGAACGCUGGUGGCGUGCCUAACACAUGCAAGUCGAGCGAUUCUCUUCGGAGAAGAGCGGCGGACGGGUGAGUAACGCGUGGGUAACCUGCCCUGUACACACGGAUAACAUACCGAAAGGUAUGCUAAUACGAGAUAACAUGCUUUUAUCGCAUGGUAGAAGUAUCAAAGCUUUUGCGGUACAGGAUGGACCCGCGUCUGAUUAGCUAGUUGGUGAGGUAACGGCUCACCGAGGCGACGAUCAGUAGCCGACCUGAGAGGGUGAUCGGCCACAUUGGAACUGAGACACGGUCCAAACUCCUACGGGAGGCAGCAGUGGGGAAUAUUGCACAAUGGGCGAAAGCCUGAUGCAGCAACGCCGCGUGAGCGAUGAAGGCCUUCGGGUCGUAAAGCUCUGUCCUCAAGGAAGAUAAUGACGGUACUUGAGGAGGAAGCCCCGGCUAACUACGUG